rnacentral:rRNA from 1 species
AGGAUAAACGCUGGCGGCGUGCCUAACACAUGCAAGUCGAACGUCCUACGCAAGUAGGGAGUGGCGGACGGGUGAGUAACACGUGGGCAAUCUACCUUUCGGUGAGGAAUACCGGCGAGAAAUCGCCGACAAUACCGCAUACGCUUCGCAAGAAGCAAAGUCGCAAGACGCCGGAGGAGGAGCCUGCGCCCGAUUAGCUGGUUGGUGGAGUAAUGGUCUACCAAGGCGACGACGGGUAG